rnacentral:rRNA from 1 species
UACGGGGGGGGCAAGCGUUGUUCGGAAUUACUGGGCGUAAAGGGCUGGUAGGCGGCCAACUAAGUCGGAUGUGAAAUCCCCAGGCUUAACCUGGGAACUGCAUCCGAUACUGGUCGGCUUGAAUCCGGGAGAGGGAUGCAGAAUUCCAGGUGUAGCGGUGAAAUGCGUAGAGAUCCGGAGGAACACCAGUGGCGAAGGCGACACGCUGGGCCGUACCUGACGCUGAUACGCGACAGCAUGGGGAGCGAACGGG